rnacentral:lncRNA from 1 species
CUCCUCCCUCACAGAGGUGGUGACAGUCCAUCCUCUGCUUCCCCCUCAUGUAGGUGCAGCGAUCCUGGGACAGCGGCUCACCUGUGACUCUCAAGAUCGCGUGGGCUAACAGGUCCUCUACCCACAGUGUGGCCUGGGAUGGCUGCCUCGCUGCCUCCCUGGGUCAGGUACGAGCUGGCUCCCCAGUGAGCUCUCACCUAGGCUCCUCAUUCUGGGUCUUCCAGCAGGCCUCUGCUGACCUUCCUGUUCUUGUCAGGGAACCUGGAGCCUGGGCCCACUGCAAGCCUGUGGGUCCCUCUCUCUGACCCCGGUCAUGUUCAGUGAGCAAUUUGAUCUCUCCUGGGGCCGACACCGGCUGCAGCAGAACGUGACGUAUGAGGUGAGGCCCAGGGAGGCUCCGAGCAGGUCAUCUGCAUGGGGCCUUACCACCUAUUGGAAGUACCUGGCUUAAGGCAGUGUGGUUCUCUGUUCAAGUGCUGGCUAUGCCAUGGAACCCAGGCCAGCCAUUCCUCUGGAUGAGGCUUGCUUCACCUGAAAUGGAUAUGGCAGUCAUAUCCUACCAGGAAGCAGGUCAAACAGGCUAGUGCUACACACAGUGGAGCAGCUGGUAGUGUUAGACGUCUGCUAAAAUGGGGCAGGAGGUGAGGGCCGGGCUCAGUCUCUUCCGCCUAACCAGAGCUUUCAGUGGGGCUAAUGUGAGACAAAAGGUGUGAGACAAAAGCCAGUACUGAAAUGGGGACAGCUGGCUCUGAGAGUGUACCUACCCCCUCAGCCUUCUGCACCCCACCCCUGGGCUUCGGAGACCCUGUAGUCCCAAGCUGGGGCACCUGGUCCCUGUGUGGGUGACAGUGACCCCUGCAGGUGCUCUGGAUAGUCUCUCUCUCCAGAAACAUCAGCUGCGCCCUUGGGACAAGGUUCACGCAGAGGCCACACUGGAGCACAUCCUCCUGGCCCCUUGUGCCCAGCACAGCUUCCGGGGGACAGUGGAGACCGACUACAAGCACAGGCUACGCCACACCCUCCACCUGGGGCUUUGCAACUUUCCCAGGGCCCUCUCAUUCUCUGGGGAGCACAGUCUGGACCAGGGUGCACUCCUGCUGCGUUCUCAAUACCAGCUGGGUCUUGCCCCAGACCCUGACCAGGGCUUGCACUUUAGCCUAACCCUGUACAACCACAGCCGACCAAAUGUACCUGACUUCUCUGGGCAGCUGGAGCUCCAUGGCCCCAGAGCUCAGCAACUCAGCUUGCUGGGGCGCGUCUCUACCUCAGCCUCCCAGAGCCUGGUCCAGCUGGAAGGCAGUGUGGAAAAGGAGAAACUAAGGCUUUUGGUGUCCCGGGCCCUGAGCUGUCUUCAGGCUUCUGCCACCCAUGGGGAAGGGAGCAGAGAAGAGAGUAUGAUGCUGCAGGCAUGCAUCCUCAGGAGAGCUGUGGAGGUGAAGGCCCUGCUCCAGAGCACUGAGCAGUCUGCCCAGCCACUGGGGCACCUGACCCUGCAGGCAGCUCCCCAGAGCCUCCUCCUAGUUGCACAUGGCAGCCAGGGGUCCCUGCUGAGCCACAUGGAGUCCAGGAUGACAGCAAUCGGAUCCCAGGUGCAAGCCCAGCUGGAAGAGAGACUCCAGAGCCUGGAUGGCUAUGUGAGAGGCUUUCAGAACCUGGUACAGCCAGUAGGCACCCUGAACAAUGCAGCAGAGUGUCUGUUGCAGUUGACUCAGGUAGGGCUAGGUGCUGUUCAGACAGGUGGCCAAAUGGUGGCUACCUUGUGGCACCGAAGCCAGGCCAGACACAUGCUGACCGGUCGCCUGCCUGUCUACCUGGAACAGCUGCAGGUGGGGCUGGAGCAGCUGCGGAAUGAGUUGGAACGUGAGUACAGGAGAGGCACAACCCAGCACCAGUUGGCCUCAGCCCCAGCCCCGGGGGCCUUGGGCCUCCAGAUUCAUUCUCACACUACUAUCUCAGUCAGAAAAGCAGUCUAA